rnacentral:rRNA from 1 species
GAUGAACGCUGACAGCAUGCUUAACACAUGCAAGUCAACUGUGGCGGACGGGUGAGUAACGCGUAAAGAACUUGCCUCUCAGUUAGGGACAACAUUUGGAAACGAAUGCUAAUACCUGAUACUGUGAGAGCGCUUUGCGUCCCAUUAGCUCGUUGGAGAGGUAACGGCUCACCAAGGCGAGGAUGGGUAGCCGGCCUGAGAGUGUGAUCGGCCACAAGGGGACUGGGACACGACCCUUACGCCUACGGGAGGCAGCAGUGGGGAAUAUAGGACAAUGGACCAAAGUCUGAUCCAGCAAUUCUGUUUGCACGAUGAAGUUUUCGGAAUGUAAAGUGCUUUCAGUUGGGAAGCGGUACCAACAGAAGAAGUGACGGCUAAAUACGUGCCAGCAGCCGCGGUAAUAC